GAAACAACAGCAACAAGACAAGGAAAGAGAGUUGGAGGUCCAGAAGAAAAAGCUGGACAAGCUAAAACAACAGCACCAAGUCAAGGAGAGAGAGAUGGAGGUCCAGAAGAAAGAGCUGGAAAAUCUAAAACAACAGCACCAAGCUCAGGCAGAGGAACUAAUCAGUGUUAAAGUCAAGGCAAACAACACAGGAAACGAAGUGGAGAUUCUGAGGAGAGAAG